CUCUCCUGGCAAUGAGCAAAUAAGCACCUUGUUGUGUUGGUGUUCUUAUACCAGUCAGGGGCAAAGUAGAUAGCAGUCUUUUGUUCAUCCUAGCUUGAUGCUUGGCUUAGUGGCCAAAGCUUUAUCAUGUCUAGUAUACAUAA
ensembl:snoRNA Gm25383 small nucleolar RNA SNORA48